CCAACCAUGUAAGAUCUCAGGUGGAGUGGCUAUUGACUGCUUCCCCGAUUGGGCCUGGAAUAUAAGGCAGGAGAUUAGAGACACAACUAAGCUGAGGGAAGAUGUAGGAUGCUGAGUGAGGAGAAGGUAACCAGGCAACUAAACUAAGGGCAGAUUUAGAGUGUUGAGUAAAGAGAAGGGCACACUGGCCAUAGGAGGCUUAGAAGAGCCCAGCCACUGAGUCAUCAGGCAGGUUAAAGUGAGCUAAUGUGUAUGUUUGUCUAUUACCUGCAGAUCCAAGGUAACCAGGGCAGUGGCCGGCAGUGCAGUCUGCCCGGAACUUAAAACAGGAACUUAGAAACUACACACUACAAGAAAUGCUUAGGAAUUCUUGUCCAGUUGGGUAUGUGGGUGCAUGCCUUUAAUCCCAGCACUCUGGUAGUAAAGGCAGGCAGAUCUCUAUGAAUUUGAGGCCAGCCUUGUCUACAUAGCAGGUCCCAGGCCAGCCAGGACUACAUAGUGAGACCCGGCCUCUAAAGACAGCAACAAAACGACAGUGUCUUUAGCCACUAGUUUCUCAUAGCAGAGCUGUCUUUCUAUCCAUCUGUCUGUCUAUCAUCUACCUAUGAUAUCUAUAUAUAAUCUAUCUUUUUAUCUCAUAUGUGUGUGCAUGCAUGUGUACAUUGGACAUCAGGUGUCACCUUAGGGUCUGUGUUAUGGUUUAAAUAUGAUUGACCUAGGGAAUGGCACUGUUAGGAGGUAUGGCCUUGUUGGAGUGGGUGUGGCCCUGUUGGAGUAGGUGUGUCACUGUGGGUGUGGGCUUUAAGACCCUCAUCCUAGCUGCCCGGAAGUCAGUCUUCUACUAGCUGCCUUCAGAUGAAGAUGUAGAACUCUCAGCUCUGCCUGCACCAUGCCUGCCUGGAUGCUGCCAUGUUCUUGCCUUUAUGAUAACGGACUGAACCUCUGAACUUGUAAGCCAGCCCCAAUUAAAUGUUGUCCUUAUAAGAGAUGCCUUGGUCAUGGUAUCUGCUCACAACAGUAAAACCCCAACUAAGACAGUCUGCCUAAGAGUCUCUGAAUGGCCUGGGACUUGCAGACCAGCCUCUGCUGGCUGGCCAGUGAGCCCCAGAUAUCCCACUUGUCUCCACCUCCCCAGUCCUGGGGUUACAAAUAUGCCACCACACUUGGCUCAUUUUUAAACAUGGGUUCUGGGGCUCACACAUGGGUCCUCAUGCUUUGCACAGCAGGUGCUUUGCAGCCAUGUGCCGCCUCUCCAGCUUUGUGCAGAUAUCCCUUACUAGACACAGGGAAAUAGCCUCCUUUUGCUUGCCGACAAGCAAAACUUAACUAAGCAAAACUAAGACUACUCUUGAAGCCAAUAGACAGCUACAGUGAUCUGUUUCAGGAACAGUGCAGUCAGAACACCAUAGGUAGGACCUGGCCAGGUGGCUAUGGGGAGGAACAGGAAACUGUUGGGGUGGGCUGUGGAGCUAGAUAUGGAAGACGUUACAGUGUAUCCGUUGGAAUAACCCAUACACAUUGUAUCAACUGGCUAUGAAAGUAGAAAGUGUGUCCUUUGUUCUCAGUUGUUAAUUGCUGUGCACCCCACCCCCUCCAGCUCAGGAUAUGUAACUAUGUAAUGCUUCCUCACUUACCCAAAGAGAACAGCAGGCUGCCGUGGGGAGGGAUCUCUCCCACUAUAGUAAUAGCUUUUUUUGUAUGAGGAAAAAAUUUGGCAUUCGAGCAAUAAAGUGUUGGCAGCUGAAGCUGGGGCAGAAGAGAGGGAAAGGAGACCAAGACAGAGGAAUGGGAGCAGAACAGGGAGGUAGAGCAAAGAGAGCCACAUGGAGAGACACGGUGGUGAAAGCCAGGUUAAGUUAGAUAGGCUCGCUAGCUGAGGAAUGGCCAAUAGCCUUUUAUUACAUAGAUGCCUCUGUGACUUUAUUAUUAUUAAAUCACAAGCGGGAGCCUUUGGAAUCCCCCGCAAUAGAGUCACUUACUAGUGCUUUAGGGGCUAUUGUUCUGGUGAGGAUAUUGACCUUUAAGCAGGAAAACAUCCCACGUAGGGAAGGGUGGGGCACAGCUGCUGCUCCCCAUGGUAACUGAAACAGUGGAUUUGGAUGCCUUUCCUCCUGUUAAUCUGUCUGGUGUGUGUUUAUUUCAAAAGCCUUGGCGACUGACCCUCCAAAGAAAACAGAGAGAAAAACAGACUCAGCGACAUGAAGUGAUUCUAAAAAGGACCGGAGAGGCAGGCUUCGCAGCUCUCACAGAUGGGGAAUCCGACUUCAUCUUAAUCACCUGCCUGCUGUCCUUCAGCCGCUCAAAGGCGAGCUUUUUCCGGAGUCUGCUGCGCCUGAAGCCCCCAGGGCCAAUCUGCUCCCCAGGAAGCCCCGCCCUGCUGCCUCCCCUUCCACCCUCAGCCAGAAUCAGACACCGGCUUUUCAAUUCCACCGGAAUUUCCUGAGGCUUUGCCCAGAUCUUUCCUCCAGGCUCCAGUUGAACGCUGCUGGUCCAUUUCGCCCCCAGCAUGGGACUGGUUGUGUCGGUAAAGCAGCCUUACCUGGGACACCGCCCAGCUGUAUAAUCAAACAUUAGAUGCCCGGGUGAGAAAUCAUAGCUUGAAACCUCAUCCAGAACUUGACCAGUCUCUCUGCCAUAAAUCUUAUCCUGUUCUGUCAUAACAGCGGGUCAGCAGGACCGCCGGACACCUCACCCGAGGGGCUCUAAGCAUAUGGGGAAAAGAGUUGACUGUAAGUCAACAACCCAAGGCAGUAGGCUCAACCCUGCAGCCCUAGCCGGAGGGUCUGCAUAAGAAAGGGAGUGCCAGGUACAAACCCCCACUGUCCUGAAUCCCUACCUCAAAAGAUUGAGGCCCAGGCCUCCUAGCAGCCUCCACCUUAGCUAGAUGCAGACUGGCUUUCCAGGGCUUUUUACUCGAUGCCUCUUUAAAGUGUCUAAUUUUAAUGAAGAAAUCUUUCAUCUGCCACCCUGUUUCCAAGAGACAGGUUUGGAAGGAAUUUUCACAAGUCACCGAGGCCCUUGGAAAUGUUUCCUGGUGGGAAACGCAAGGCUGUAAGACACAAGAUGUUCUCACUCUGGGUGAGAGCGGAGGGGCCAAGAGAAGGAAAUAAAACACCCCCCACCCCAAGCGUUUCAAGAGCCAAGUGGAGGGAGGAUACAGGGGUACAAGCAGAAGGGGAAGAGAAUUGCACUGGGAGUGGAGAAAGGGUAGUUGUACCAGAGAACAGAAUCCUUCUGGGGUUAAGUGGGGAGAGAGGGGGUGGGGGAUACUCAGAAGGGCCACAGGAUGAGUGGGGAACGGCACCCACAACAGGAAGGAGAGCAAAGGCCCCAAAUAUAUACACGACACACACACACAACGGAAUUAAAAACUCAAAUUUAUCCCCUCUGGAGCUAUGUAAGCCAGAGAGGAUUUAAAAAAAAAAUCUGUUGAACUGAAAAUUUCAUAGCUGAACUGAGGCUGAACUGACAUUGUUGAAUUGGGGCUCGGGGCAGCGAAUGCAGCUGUGUGCUCAGUCACAGCCCUUCCAGAGGUGAGGCUGGGAUAGAACAUCUUCAAGGGUCGGGACUCCCAGAUAAGGCUCUCCCUAGCUCCUCCCAUCAAGGAAGCGGCUUCCCCAGCAUUCAUCUCCAGGGGGCGCCAUAACGUUUCCUGUGGACUGUGUGCUACACCCUCCACAGGGAGCAAUGGAGGUCCCUAGGUAGGCGCUUCGUGCUGUCAGAUCCUUCUCUGAGGUUCUCUGUAUUCUCUGGACGCACACACCUCCAGCCCCCAUCAGGAGAGGGACUGGAUAAAUAGGUUAGAAACACAGGGAGGGAAAGUUGGGAGUAUGGAUUUUUCGUACCAGCUGAGCCAACAGAUGCCGGGUGGCGGGGAGGGGUAAGAGGGUGAGGAAGCGUAAGUCAUAAGUCAUGGACAAGGAAGAGGUAUGGGGGUUAAUGGAGGAGACUUUGGGAAGAGAGUGGCUUUCCAGUGUCAUUAAAAAGCCUCCUCUCAAGUCCAUGAGCACGUCGACCAGGCUUUUUUUUUUUUUUUUUCCCAGUAAGCCUCUGGAUUAAUAUCUGGACACAGUGUCUUCUGCAACUGGUGAUUGAAAAACACCAUUUUUCCUAGCACCUCUCUGACACACAGUCCACACCAGCACCAAAGGACAGAGUGAGGAAGAGGCUAACAAGGCAAAAACUACAAACAUCAACCUGGUUUGUAAAGGCAGCGUUUUCAAAGCAUUUGUUUACCCUGCUUCCGCUAAUGAGAUACUACUUGUAGAUGCAAAUUUUUAAGGAUGUUAUCUUCAGCCCGGAGAGAAAGAAACUGUAAUUUGCAGUUUUUUUUUUCUGGGAGUGAUAACCUUCGGAAGUAAUGAUUUCGCUGAUUAACUGCUGCGAACAAAACAUUGUUGCCAAACCUGUUAAUCUAAAACUAGCAAUAGAACUGCUGUUAGAUCCACAUUCCCAUCCCUCCAAUCCCCAGAGAGCUCGGAGAAAUAUUUCUCAUUUCAAUAGCCUUCAUCUUCUGAUGUGUUUUAUUGCCUCUGCUAAUAGGUUAGCCAUAAGUUAGGAGCGGCUUCCGGCUUCGAGAUAGAUAUCAAGUGAACCGCAUAGAGGAAGGAGUUCGAGAAGAAAAGCAAUCCCACUUAAAGCAUAAUUUUUUUUAAAUGAAAGGUGGAGUGGGGAAAUGUGUGCGAGCUCAUUGAGUAAGCGAGCUCAUAAAAUAAAUGGAAGUGUUUAGCGAUC